UUGUAUUAGUAAGUUGUAUUUAAAUUUUGUACCAUGUAUCUGACGACCCAAGAUGGGUGAUGUAUACCUAAUUUUGGGGGCGUCACAGUUGGUAUCAAAGCUUAGGGAUAUGAUCCCUGGCUAAGAUGUGAGAAUAGUACUAGGAGGGGAGAGAUGAGGAAUUCCUUCGCUAGUAUGACGUACCUAAGUUUAUGUGGUAUUUAAUUGGUCGGUCAGAAUUUAGGGAUAAUAUGUUACAAGUCAAUUAAACUUUGUUUUAUGGCAGUAUCUGAAAAUGACAUCCGAGAAUGUUGAGAAUAGCAAUGAAGCACAAGCGACCAUUGAUUCACCACAUAUCAAUAAUCAGGAUAAUGUGCAUCAGGAAGGCGACAAUCCUCAUGCAAACAACAACACUGACCAAAUGAUGAAUGAUCA
rnacentral:lncRNA from 1 species